GACGAACGCUGGCGGCGCGCCUAACACAUGCAAGUCGAACGAGCGAGAGAGAGCUUACUUUCUCGAGCGAGUGGCGAACGGGUGAGUAACGCGUGAGGAACCUGCCUCAAAGAGGGGGACAACAGUUGGAAACGACUGCUAAUACCGCAUAAGCCCACGGCUCGGCAUCGAGCAGAGGGAAAAGGAGCAAUCCGCUUUGAGAUGGCCUCGCGUCCGAUUAGCUAGUUGGUGAGGUAACGGCCCACCAAGGCGACGAUCGGUAGCCGGACUGAGAGGUUGAACGGCCACAUUGGGACUGAGACACGGCCCAGACUCCUACGGGAGGCAGCAGUGGGGAAUAUUGCACAAUGGGGGAAACCCUGAUGCAGCGACGCCGCGUGGAGGAAGAAGGUCUUCGGAUUGUAAACUCCUGUUGUUGAGGAAGAUAAUGACGGUACUCAACAAGGAAGUGACGGCUAACUACGUGCCAGCAGCCGCGGUAAAACGUAGGUCACAAGCGUUGUCCGGAAUUACUGGGUGUAAAGGGAGCGCAGGCGGGAAGACAAGUUGGAAGUGAAAUCCAUGGGCUCAACCCAUGAACUGCUUUCAAAACUGUUUUUCUUGAGUAGUGCAGAGGUAGGCGGAAUUCCCGGUGUAGCGGUGGAAUGCGUAGAUAUCGGGAGGAACACCAGUGGCGAAGGCGGCCUACUGGGCACCAACUGACGCUGAGGCUCGAAAGUGUGGGUAGCAAACAGGAUUAGAUACCCUGGUAGUCCACACUGUAAACGAUGAUUACUAGGUGUUGGAGGAUUGACCCCUUCAGUGCCGCAGUUAACACAAUAAGUAAUCCACCUGGGGAGUACGACCGCAAGGUUGAAACUCAAAGGAAUUGACGGGGGCCCGCACAAGCAGUGGAGUAUGUGGUUUAAUUCGACGCAACGCGAAGAACCUUACCAAGUCUUGACAUCCUGCGACGCACAUAGAAAUAUGUGUUUCCUUCGGGACGCAGAGACAGGUGGUGCAUGGUUGACGUCAGCUCGUGUCGUGAGAUGUUGGGUUAAGUCCCGCAACGAGCGCAACCCUUAUGGUCAGUUACUACGCAAGAGGACUCUGGCCAGACUGCCGUUGACAAAACGGAGGAAGGUGGGGAUGACGUCAAAUCAUCAUGCCCUUUAUGACUUGGGCUACACACGUACUACAAUGGCGUUAAACAAAGAGAAGCAAGACCGCGAGGUGGAGCAAAACUCAGAAACAACGUCCCAGUUCGGACUGCAGGCUGCAACUCGCCUGCACGAAGUCGGAAUUGCUAGUAAUCGCAGAUCAGCAUGCUGCGGUGAAUACGUUCCCGGGCCU
rnacentral:rRNA from 1 species